AACGAACGCUGGCGGCAGGCCUAACACAUGCAAGUCGAGCGAGGACUUCGGUCCUAGCGGCGGACGGGUGAGUAACGCGUGGGAACGUGCCCUUUGCUUCGGAAUAGCCCUGGGAAACUGGGAGUAAUACCGGAUGAGCCCUUUGGGGGAAAGAUUUAUCGGCGAAGGAUCGGCCCGCGUUGGAUUAGGUAGUUGGUGGGGUAAUGGCCUACCAAGCCGACGAUCCAUAGCUGGUUUGAGAGGAUGAUCAGCCACACUGGGACUGAGACACGGCCCAGACUCCUACGGGAGGCAGCUGUGGGGAAUCUUAGACAAUGGGGGAAACCCUGAUCUAGCCAUGCCGCGUGAGCGAUGAAGGCCUUAGGGUUGUAAAGCUCUUUCAGCUGGGAAGAUAAUGACGGUACCAGCAGAAGAAGCCCCGGCUAACUCCGUG
rnacentral:rRNA from 1 species